ensembl:lncRNA
GCAACGUUGACUUUGUCGACAUCUGGUGGUCAAAUGACGGUACUGGUGGCUUUCCCUCUGAGGGACUCUCCUAUCCUGAAUCAAUACGGGGGGAUUCACUAGCUUAUGCUACCACAACUCCACGGGUGAAUCUCAAGGACGGCAAGUAAGCAAAGCUCUAAUUGACAACGUUGGCAGCGGCGAGGCCUGGGCCGAAAGGGCCUGGGUGUAAUCAGCUUAAAUACAGACACACUCCACUUAAGGCCAGGAUGGCGGCUCCGGCGAUCACAUGGUUUCAGAGCAGCGAUCAGAGCUGGAUUUGGCAGGACAUGGCUCUCAACCACAUCUCUGUCUGCUCCAUUACUGCCUUUCCACCUCCUCUCCCUCCAACCCCACCUCGCUGAGAGCUUCUGAACUGACCUGCAAAAACACUGCUAAACGUUUAAGGGAUCAAAGAUUCUCCUUUCCAUCAUUUAAGCUCAAUCAUUUAUAGUGUUGUGACUCAAUCACAAAGUUGUGUUGCUUUAACUGGAGAAUGCCUUGGUGUAAUUUGUUGAAAUAAAAAAGGAUGGGA